rnacentral:hammerhead_ribozyme from 1 species
AUCCAGCUAACGAGUCCCAAAUAGGACGAAACGUGCGUUAUGGAU